GACGAACGCUGGCGGCGUGCUUAACACAUGCAAGUCGAACGGAAAGGCCCUGCUUUUGUGGGGUGCUCGAGUGGCGAACGGGUGAGUAACACGUGAGUAACCUGCCCUUGACUUUGGGAUAACUUCAGGAAACUGGGGCUAAUACCGGAUAGGAGCUCCUGCUGCAUGGUGGGGGUUGGAAAGUUUCGGCGGUUGGGGAUGGACUCGCGGCUUAUCAGCUUGUUGGUGGGGUAGUGGCUUACCAAGGCUUUGACGGGUAGCCGGCCUGGGAGGGUGACCGGCCACAUUGGGACUGAGGUACGGCCCAGACUGCUACGGGAGGCAGCAGUGGGGAAUAUUGCACAAUGGGCGGAGGCCUGAUGCAGCAACGCCGCGUGCGGGAUGACGGCCUUCGGGUUGUAAACCGCUUUCGCCUGUGACGAAGCGUGAGUGACGGUAAUGGGUAAAGAAGCACCGGCUAACUACGUG
rnacentral:rRNA from 1 species